rnacentral:rRNA from 1 species
AUUGAACGCUGGCGGCAGGCCUAACACAUGCAAGUCGAGCGGAUGAGUGGAGCUUGCUCCAUGAUUCAGCGGCGGACGGGUGAGUAAUGCCUAGGAAUCUGCCUGGUAGUGGGGGACAACGUUUCGAAAGGAACGCUAAUACCGCAUACGUCCUACGGGAGAAAGCAGGGGACCGUCGGGCCUUGCGCUAUCAGAUGAGCCUAGGUCGGAUUAGCUAGUAGGUGAGGUAAUGGCUCACCUAGGCGACGAUCCGUAACUGGUCUGAGAGGAUGAUCAGUCACACUGGAACUGAGACACCGGACAGACUCCUACGGGAGGCGGCAGUGGGGAAUAUUGGACAAUGGGCGAAAGCCUGAUCCAGCCAUGCCGCGUGUGUGAAGAAGGUCUUCGGAUUGUAAAGCACUUUAAGUUGGGAGGAAGGGCAGUAAGUUAAUACCUUGCUGUUUUGACGUUACCAACAGAAUAAGCACCGGCUAACUUCGUGCCAGCAGCCGCGGUAAGAC